AUGAACGCUAGCUACAGGCUUAACACAUGCAAGUCGAGGGGCAGCAUGGUCUUAGCUUGCUAAGGCCGAUGGCGACCGGCGCACGGGUGAGUAACACGUAUCCAACCUGCCGUCUACUCUUGGACAGCCUUCUGAAAGGAAGAUUAAUACAAGAUGGCAUCAUGAGUCCGCAUGUUCACAUGAUUAAAGGUAUUCCGGUAGACGAUGGGGAUGCGUUCCAUUAGAUAGUAGGCGGGGUAACGGCCCACCUAGUCUUCGAUGGAUAGGGGUUCUGAGAGGAAGGUCCCCCACAUUGGAACUGAGACACGGUCCAAACUCCUACGGGAGGCAGCAGUGAGGAAUAUUGGUCAAUGGGCGAGAGCCUGAACCAGCCAAGUAGCGUGAAGGAUGACUGCCCUAUGGGUUGUAAACUUCUUUUAUAAAGGAAUAAAGUCGGGUAUGGAUACCCGUUUGCAUGUACUUUAUGAAUAAGGAUCGGCUAACUCCGUGCCAGCAGCCGCGGUAAUACGGAGGAUUCGAGCGUUAUCCGGAUUUAUUGGGUUUAAAGGGAGCGUAGAUGGAUGUUUAAGUCAGUUGUGAAAGUUUGCGGCUCAACCGUAAAAUUGCAGUUGAUACUGGAUAUCUUGAGUGCAGUUGAGGCAGGCGGAAUUCGUGGUGUAGCGGUGAAAUGCUUAGAUAUCACGAAGAACUCCGAUUGCGAAGGCAGCCUGCUAAGCUGCAACUGACAUUGAGGCUCGAAAGUGUGGGUAUCAAACAGGAUUAGAUACCCUGGUAGUCCACACGGUAAACGAUGAAUACUCGCUGUUUGCGAUAUACGGCAAGCGGCCAAGCGAAAGCGUUAAGUAUUCCACCUGGGGAGUACGCCGGCAACGGUGAAACUCAAAGGAAUUGACGGGGGCCCGCACAAGCGGAGGAACAUGUGGUUUAAUUCGAUGAUACGCGAGGAACCUUACCCGGGCUUAAAUUGCAGAUGAAUUACGGUGAAAGCCGUAAGCCGCAAGGCAUCUGUGAAGGUGCUGCAUGGUUGUCGUCAGCUCGUGCCGUGAGGUGUCGGCUUAAGUGCCAUAACGAGCGCAACCCUUGUUGUCAGUUACUAACAGGUUCCGCUGAGGACUCUGACAAGACUGCCAUCGUAAGAUGUGAGGAAGGUGGGGAUGACGUCAAAUCAGCACGGCCCUUACGUCCGGGGCUACACACGUGUUGCAAUGGGGGGUACAGAGGGCCGCUACCACGCGAGUGGAUGCCAAUCCCCAAAACCUCUCUCAGUUCGGACUGGAGUCUGCAACCCGACUCCACGAAGCUGGAUUCGCUAGUAAUCGCGCAUCAGCCACGGCGCGGUGAAUACGUUCCCGGGCCUUGUACACACCGCCCGUCAAGCCAUGGGAGCCGGGGGUACCUGAAGUGCGUAACCGCGAGGAGCGCCCUAGGGUAAAACUGGUGACUGGGGCU
rnacentral:rRNA from 1 species